AGGGCACCACCAGGAGUGGAGCCUGCGGCUUAAUUUGACUCAACACGGGGAAACUUACCCGGCCUGGACACUGGAAGGAUUGACAGAUUGAGAGCUCUUUCUUGAUUCAGUGGGUGGUGGUGCAUGGCCGUUCUUAGUUGGUGGAGCGAUUUGUCUGGUUAAUUCCGAUAACGAACGAGACUCUAGCCUAUUAAAUAGGCUCCCGGCUUUUAAACGCCGGGAGGACUUCUUAGAGGGACAGGUGGCGGUUCAGCCGCACGAAAGAGAACAAUAACAGGUCUGUGAUGCCCUUUGUUGUCCGGGGCCGCACGCGCGCUACACUGAAGAGAUCAGCGUGCUUUAUGUUCCUGCUCCGACCGGAGUGGGGAACCCAGUAAACCUUCUUCGUGAUUGGGAUAGAAGAUUGUAAUUAUUCUUCUUGAACGAGGAAUUCCCAGUAAAUGCGAGUCAUAAGCUCGCGUUGAUUACGUCCCUGCCCUUUGUACACACCGCCCGUCGCUACUACCGAUUGAACGAUUU
rnacentral:rRNA from 1 species